CACGACGCUCUUCCGAUCUUGUCAACUCUUUCCGUGCCGAAGCUAACGCAUUAAGUGCCCCGCCUGGGGAGUACGGUCGCAAGGCUGAAACUUAAAGGAAUUGGCGGGGGAGCACCACAAGGCGUGAAGCUUGCGGUUUAAUUGGAGUCAACGCCGGAAAUCUCACCGGGGGCGACAGCAGGAUGAAAGCCAGAUUAAAGGUCUUGCCAGACGAGCUGAGAGGAGGUGCAUGGCCGUCGCCAGUUCGUGCCGUGAGGUGUCCUGUUAAGUCAGGCAACGAUCGAGACCCGCAUUCCCCGUUGCUACCAGCCUUGAGCUGGGCACACUGGGAACACCGCCGUCGAUAAGACGGAGGAAGGAGCGGGCCACGGCAGGUCAGUAUGCCCCGAAUCUCCCGGGCCACACGCGAGCUGCAAUGGCAGGUACAAUGGGUUCCGACCUCGAAAGGGGAAGGAAAUCUCGAAAGCCUGCCGUAGUUGGGAUCGAGGGUUGAAACCCACCCUCGUGAACAUGGAAUCCCUAGUAAUCGCGCGUCACUAGCGCGCGGUGAAUACGUCCCUGCUCCUUGCACACACCGCCCGUCGCUCCAUCCGAGUUUGGUCAGAUCGGAAGAGCGUCGUGUAGGGAAAGA
rnacentral:rRNA from 1 species